AAACUGUGUAUCUCUACUGUCUUCAGGUAAAUGAUGUGGAGUGUGUUUGCAUAUUGAUCAGAUGCUUCAGUGCUCUGAGAGUGUUUAUAGUGCUGUGAGUUUAACACUUCAUCACUGACACACACAACAAUCUUCAUCAACAUGACCUUCAUCAUCAUCUUCAUCUGGACACUUUCAUACUGCUUCAUACUACAAGGGUGUAAAGCUCAGAUCACAGUCACUCAGACUCCUUCAGUGAAAACUGUCACACCAGGAGAAAAUGUAGUGAUGAGCUGUAAACUCAGUGAACCUUCACCCUGCAGCCCACCCUGUGUGUCCUGGUACUUACAGAAACCUGGAGAAACUCCUAAACUCCUGAUUUAUUUAACAAACACCCUCCAGUCAGGAACUCCAUCUAGAUUCAGUGGCAGUGGAUCUGGAACUGAUUUCACUCUGACCAUCAGUGGAGUCCAGACUGAAGAUGCUGGACAUUAUUACUGUCAGAGUGCACACAGUGGUCCAGUGCUCACACAGUGA